GGGGACCGCCUCUAUACAUGCAGUCGAGCGGUAGGUCCUUCGGGAGUACACGAGCGGCGAACGGGUGAGUAACACGUGAGCAAUCUGCCCUUCUCAUCGGAAUAACCAUUGGAAACGAUGGCUAAUGCCGAAUAUGACCUCGGAACACAUGUUCUGAGGUGGAAAGCUCCGGCGGAGAAGGAUGAGCUCGCGGCCUAUCAGCUUGUUGGUGAGGUAAUGGCUCACCAAGGCAUUGACGGGUAGCCGGCCUGAGAGGGUGACCGGCCACACUGGGACUGAGACACGGCCCAGACUCCUACGGGAGGCAGCAGUGGGGAAUAUUGGACAAUGGGCGAAAGCCUGAUCCAGCAACGCCGCGUGAGGGAUGACGGCCUUCGGGUUGUAAACCUCUUUCAGCAGGGACGAAGCGAAAGUGACGGUACCUGCAGAAGAAGGACCGGCCAACUACGUGCCAGCAGCCGCGGUAAUACGUAGGGUCCGAGCGUUGUCCGGAAUUAUUGGGCGUAAAGGGCUCGUAGGCGGUUUGUCACGUCGGGAGUGAAAACUCAGGGCUCAACCCUGAGCGUGCUUCCGAUACGGGCAGACUAGAGGUAUGCAGGGGAGAACGGAAUUCCUGGUGUAGCGGUGGAAUGCGCAGAUAUCAGGAGGAACACCGGUGGCGAAGGCGGUUCUCUGGGCAUUACCUGACGCUGAGGAGCGAAAGCAUGGGGAGCGAACAGGAUUAGAUACCCUGGUAGUCCCAUGCCGUAAACGUUGGGCGCUAGUGUAGGGGGACCUUCCACGGUCUCCGUGC
rnacentral:rRNA from 1 species